rnacentral:rRNA from 1 species
CCCUUAGAUGUUCUGGGCCGCACGCGCGCUACACUGAUCGGUGCAACAAGCAUCCGUCCUUGGCCGACAGGCUCGGGCAAUCUUUGAACGCUGGUCGUGAUGGGGAUAGACUUUUGCAAUUUUUGGUCUUCAACGAGGAAUUCCUAGUAAACGCAAGUCAUCAACUUGCAUUGAUUACGUCCCUGCCCUUUGUACACACCGCCCGUCGCACCUACCGAUUGAAUGGUCCGGUGAAGCCUCCGGAUUGGCGCGCACCUCGGUGCCGCCGAGAAGUUGGCUAAACCUUACCAUUUAGAGGAAGGUGAAGUCGUAACA